GAGCUGCACGGAAUUCCUGCCUUGUGUGUCCUCAAAGACACCCUCCGGUCAAAGGUGAAUCUGCUGCAUCCGGGACUUCACCUGCUUUGCUUGUAUGCAUGAAUUCUCUUUAAUUGUGUUGGAUUUUCAGUAAAGCACUCAGACUUGGAGCCAGCUUUUAAUUAUAUGCGUUUGACAGUGAAAGCUGGAUGAUGCCUUCCCUCAGUAUGCGUCUCUUAUUGUAAUGCUCUUUCUAAACAUAACAUACAUGCCAUGUUUAGAACUACAUAUGUUGUUAAUCCUGCAAUGUUGGGGACUCAUCAUCACCUAAUCCUCUCUUCUGUAAUCCGCUCGGAACUGCCGGAGCGGCUGGACAUCCUUUCACAAUUAGAAUCCGCUUAAAACUAAAGGCAAUGUAAAUGAUGCACAGCUGAAGCAAGGAUUCACAAGGUUGUGAAAAUAUUCACAAGUGUGCCAGCUUCACAUUCAAGUUGUUUUGAGAAAGGGGAGGCUGUCUGCUGAAAUAGGACCUGGUGUGUAGAGAGCGCUGCCCCCUGAGCUGGUGCUAGGAACAGGCCCUCCAGCGAUCCAGGACUGGGGUCUGAGGGGUCUAAAGCAAUACUCAAAGGUGUUUUGACCAUUGCCACAUUCAUAAUUUGGUCAUGUGACAAUUCACCUGGAGAGUGAAAUUUCCCCCACCCCUUGCCUGUCAUAAACCAACCGGAUGCUUCCCCUGUUGACUGACAUGCUUUACAGCCAGUAGCGUGCUUUAAAGACACUGCGGAGGUGACCUAGGACGUGAAACAGUAACAGACUUCCUGAGAGUAAGAGUAAUCAAGGGGAAAGAACCUGGCCCACACCAAGGCGAUGCCAAAUCCAAUCCAGUAGACAAGCUCCAAUAAAGUGGCCAGUGCAUUGAAGCAAAGAGGUGAAGAAUAAUACGUUUCCCCACUUCAGCCUGGAGAUUGAAACCAGUUGGAACUCUAACUAGAUCCCUUUGCCCCAGUGAAGAUCAUGUUCUGGGUUUGAGAUUAAAUGUCAUGUUUUACAUAUUUUUGUUUUCAUAAAACAAGGUAAAUGGGGGGAAAAAAGAAAUGUAAACUCAGAUGAAGAAAUAGUAUCUGCCACUGGGGUGGAAAAAUCAAUACUGUGUUUUUCUUUAGCACUGAAGCUGUUCAGGGCCACUGUGCUAACUAACUGGAUCUUCACAUUUAUUAGAACUGCAACUGCAAAGGCAAACUACUGCAAUAAUGUAACAGUGUAGAGUGAGUGUAAGAAUUGUUAUGGGGAAUGUUUGAGGUAUUGGUUCAGAAAUGUUUGGCUUGCCAUGCCUGUGUGAUUGACUCAGAGAUUGUUUAGCUAAGAUGGGAGAGAGAGCGAGUAAAGAAAAUGGGGACUGUUCUUGUUGUUCAGUUAUGUGUACAGAUCUGAUUUAAAUGAACCAGCAACGUGCUUCAAGUACCAAACAGCCUUGUUGGGUUCUUUAUUAAACAGCCACAUGCAACGCUGGCUACACUGGCAAGAAACUACUCAGAAGCCCAAUCUAACCACUGCAUCUAAAUUCUGAAAAUGUGCAGAAAAUGGGGUUCUAUAUAUUCUAUAGCGUACACACAAUAUGAGGCUAAAAAGAUGACAUUCGAACCACUGUUAUACAUUAUUGAAUGUUUCUAUAACUCUAGGAAGAUUGUAGCUGUGCUGUAAUUUAAUUAAUCAUAUAAAGGUGGGUGAACUAUUAGGAAGGUGCUUUUCAUUAUUAAGAGGCCUCUCCCAUUGUCCUUGAUGGAUAUCAUCCUUUGUGUAUCUCCUUGUGUUCU